AUGUUACCAAUUAUGUCCAUUAGGGAGCGUAAUGAAAUUGCAUGUUUUGCUUUGCUUUUCCUUUCUUCUCUAGCUCCAAGAAGUUAUAUGAAAAAAAGUAGUGACGGGACCGAGCUCAAGCAUAAACUUUUUCCUUCUAAGUGUAAGAAAACCACGUACAUCGAAGCUCCUGCAGUUCUUCAUCAUUUGCUCGGCAGUGGAGCUGAUCAGAAUUCCCUCCGAUGCUCUUCAAGAUGUCCAGGUUUUCUGAAAGCCAUACAGAAAUAGAAAAGAUUUAAAUGUUCCUCUUAUGAAAAGGAUGCUGCCCAUCUAUAAAGUGCUGUCUCCAAUGGCCCUGCUACUUGAGCAAAGGAAACGCUGUAUAUUCCAAUAGAGAAGUCAUCGAUCAUCAACUUUCCUUAAUGCUGCAGACUAAGGUGAGUCUUAUCUAUACCACAUGCAAACAAAAAAUGCUAAAUUGUCUUCCUAUUCCAAGUAUGUGCUAUUUAUAUGAAGGAUAAACAGAGUUAACAUGAGAUACAUUCAUGAGGAUAAGAAUCAUUUCUUGGUGUCCUUUAUAUCCCUCUCAGGACCUACUGAGUGCACUAGCUAAUACCCAAUAGGUGCUAAAAACACGUCUUUUUAAUUGAAUAGGGUGACUUUUCUCCAUCAGCCCUUCUUUGCUAUAAGUGGCCUGCUAAGUAUAAACUAUACACUUUGUUGAUGAAAAAUUAGUAUAGCUUGUGGCAGCAAAACAUCAGCAGAUGAUAACAGCACGCUUUGACUCUGUCUAAAUCUCUGUUCCCCAAACGGCACUACUGGCAUCAUCCAUGAGUUAGGAUACCUCAAUUUAAUCAUCUCACCGAACAGCUGGAGAACUGCCUGAAUCUGCCAGCAGUCCUGUGGCCAUGGUGAUUUGGCUCCAUGUCAGUUCCCCAAACCUGGGCCCUAAACGCAGGUGAGGCCUUUCCAAGAGCUCCACAGGGCUUGGAGAUGCAGCGGAGAUGACUCACAGCCAUGAUCAUGAGAAAGCAGAGGGCUCUUGCGUGCAUUGUUGAAACAGACUGGGAAGAACUCGUUCUUGGAUGUCUGGACCAUCCUUGUGGUCAACCCCUUCACGUUCAGGAGUACAAACUAAGCAGUCAGCCCGUGCAGUCAACAGUGAUGGCGCAGAUCUUCAAAGGCCAUGACAAGGGCUUCUUGAUUAAUUUGUGAAUAGUUCUGUUCUGCUGCUUUAAGACCAGCUUGCUUGUUGGAACAAAGCACAGUUUAAAGUGAAGUGUCAAUGGGAAGGAACUUAUGGGUCCUGCCCUUUUCUCGCUGGCUGUGAAAUGUCUCAGCAAAAACACCCGAAUUAAGACAGAAUAAAGCAGACUGGGAUUUAUAAUAUUUGUUUUUU
rnacentral:lncRNA from 1 species